rnacentral:rRNA from 1 species
GAUGAACGCUGGCGGCGUGCUUAACACAUGCAAGUCGAACGCUGGAGCUCAGCUUUUGUUGGGUGGAUGAGUGGCGAACGGGUGAGUAACACGUGAGUAACCUGCCUCCUUCUUUGGGAUAACGCCCGGAAACGGGUGCUAAUACUGGAUAUUCACUGGUCUUCGCAUGGGGGUUGGUGGAAAGGGUUUUUCUGGUGGGGGAUGGGCUCGCGGCCUAUCAGCUUGUUGGUGGGGUGAUGGCCUACCAAGGCUUUGACGGGUAGCCGGCCUGAGAGGGUGACCGGUCACAUUGGGACUGAGAUACGGCCCAGACUCCUACGGGAGGCAGCAGUGGGGAAUAUUGCACAAUGGGCGCAAGCCUGAUGCAGCGACGCCGCGUGCGGGAUGACGGCCUUCGGGUUGUAAACCGCUUUCGCCUGUGACGAAGCGUGAGUGACGGUAAUGGGUAAAGAAGCACCGGCUAACUACGUG